GGGUGAGUAACACGUGGGCAACCUGCGCCUUAGACUGGGAUAACUCCGGGAAACCGGAGCUAAUACCGGAUAAUCCCUUUCUCCACCUGGGGAGAGGGUGAAAGAUGGCUUCGGCUAUCACUAGGGGAUGGGCCCGCGGCGCAUUAGCUAGUUGGUAAGGUAACGGCUUACCAAGGCAACGAUGCGUAGCCGACCUGAGAGGGUGAUCGGCCACACUGGGACUGAGACACGGCCCAGACUCCUACGGGAGGCAGCAGUAGGGAAUCUUCCGCAAUGGACGAAAGUCUGACGGAGCAACGCCGCGUGAGUGAGGAAGGCCUUCGGGUCGUAAAGCUCUGUUGUGAGGGAAGAAGCGGUACCGUUCGAAUAGGGCGGUACCUUGACGGUACCUCACCAGAAAGCCACGGCUAACUACGUGCCAGC
rnacentral:rRNA from 2 species